CACCAUCCCCAAUUGUUCCGGUUCUAGGGUUUUCUUUUUACUUUUUUAUUUCGAUUUCUCUAAUUUGAUUUCCCUUUUCCUCUCUUCGUCGAUGGUUUCCCCUUCCGUGAAUUUUCAAGGAUGGAGAUCCAGAUGUUUUCUUGUGAUUUCCUUCUGUGAUCCAGCUUUCGGUGGUUUUCGACGUAUUUUAGUGAGAUGAUGAUCUAUAUUUGAUUGCGGAUUCUUUGAUUUCUUAUUCAAAGCGAUGUCUUGAGUAUCGAUCCCUUUCCUGAAUUGAUUUCUUGGUAUGAAGAUCAAGGUGAUUGUUUGUGAUUCCAGUUUGUGUCUUUUUUUAAUUUUUUUUGAAUUUAUUCCCCGAUUUUUGAUGAUUUUUCUUUGAAAAUCUCACCGGAAUAUGGAUUCUUGAUCAAGGUGAUUUUUUUAUUAGUAAAGACGAUGGUUUUGGCCUUUACCAAUCCGAUUUUUUUUUUUUUUAAUGGUUUUUCUUUGAAAACCACUUCGAAAUAGGGAUUUUUCUUAGUCUUCUCGGAAAGGAUGCGGCGAGGAUCCGAUCUCUUCUCUGAAAGAUUAAUUCUUCGAGGUUGAAGAUCCAGAUGAUAAGCUUAUGAUUUGUCAUCCGUGUUUUGGGUCUGGCUUAAGAUGGAAAGGAGUUGUUUUAUAUUUUGUCCUAAUUGUUUAAUGAUUUUUAGAUUCGGUUCUUGUAUAUUUUUUUUAUUAUAUAUUUUUGUUGAUCUUAGAUCUGUUGUAGAAAUCGUGCAGGAUUGAUUAUCCAGCCCACAAUGAAAAUUUUGCUGCUGAAUUAUACUGGAAGGUCUUGACGAAGGGAAGAUGAAAAUAGGUUUAGAUUUGUUGCUUGUUUUGGGUAAUUUUCAAGCGGAUCUAUUGUAUUCUUGAUGUAUGUAGAAACCGGUUUCAUCUCCAUCCAAGAACAAGAUCAGCUGAAGGCAGUGAAAAAGGUGAUGUAUAUUUAUGUAAUAUGACCUUUGCCAUGAUGGGUGCGCUCGCAUGGCAGGUCACCAUAUCCUUAAUAAAAUUUCCCUUUUUUGUGGUUCUUGAGGGGGAGAUCGCACGGGGAUUUGAUUUUUUUUAGUUCCCCCGGGUUCUCCCCUUCAUCUUGUGUGCUUCCCUUUUUUUUUGUGUGUGUAUGUGCAUGUUUAUGUCUUCACAAAUGACGACACUUCCACGAUUAUUGCCGAUUGCUACCUUGCAUUUUCCCGCUUGGCAGACCAUGCAUGUGAUCUAUGACUCGCGUCAAUGUCUCAUCGUAAUCGCAGAUGUCAAUCUCAAGUAUGGUUGUGGAUCACCCAAUAUCCAUCUUUCUUGCUAUCUUAUCUCCUAAAGGGGUUUUGGAAAGGAGUUCUUUUUUUUAUUCAUAGAGCAAUUGAAACUGGUCUCAAUAAGUGUGUCAUAUAAAAGUCAGGUGCCUGACUGAUGUAGCACAGACUUGAGCAGUGCUCUCUCAUUCUUCUUAUAACCAGGGAGCAUGUCUCUAGUCUAAUGCAGGCAAAUAUUUAAUCAUAGGCUCAGCUUGGUAGGGAGGUUCUUUUGGUUGCUCAUUUCAAGUGUAAGCUUUUCAGACAUGCACUCAGGGAUUGGUUUAAAUUUCUUAUUUAUCUGUUGUGGUAAGCUCAAUAAAGUUGAUUAUCUCUGUUUUAUCAA